rnacentral:tRNA from 1 species
AUUUCCUUAGUACAGCCAGUACAGGUGAUUUCCAAUCAUCUAACCUUGGUGAAACCCCAAGAGGAAGUA